GGUCCAGCCUGCCCAGUGACCAUGUUCAACGGCCGCGGUAUCCUAACCGUGCGAAGGUAGCGUAAUCACUUGUUCUUUAAAUAAGGACUAGUAUGAAUGGCACCACGAAGGUUAUACUGUCUCCUCUUUCUAAUCAGUGAAACUAAUCUCCCCGUGAAGAAGCGAGGAUAAUAAUAUAAGACGAGAAGACCCUAUGGAGCUUCAAACUACAAGGCACUUGCUCAAACAUAGCUAAAUUUCAGAAGACCUCUCCCACCCAAGCAAGAUGACCUUUAGUUUUAGGUUGGGGUGACCGCGGAGAAAAAAAUAACCUCCACAUUGAAAGGAACCCAAUCCUUAGCCAAGAGCCACACCUCUACGCACCAACAAAAAGACAUUAAUUGACCCAAUAUUUUGAUCAACGAACCAAGUUACCCUAGGGAUAACAGCGCAAUCCACUUCAAGAGCCCCUAUCGACAAGUGGGUUUACGACCUCGAUGUUGGAUCAGGGUAUUCCCGGUGGUGCAGCCGCUACCAAAGG
rnacentral:rRNA from 1 species